rnacentral:rRNA from 1 species
UACGGGGGAGCAAGCGUUGUUCGGAUUUACUGGGCGUAAAGGGCGCGUAGGCGGCCACCGCAAGUCACUUGUGAAAUCUCCGGGCUUAACCCGGAAAGGUCAACUGAUACUGCGGGGCUAGAGUGCAGAAGGGCAACUGGAAUUCUCGGUGUAGCGGUGAAAUGCGUAGAUAUCGAGAGGAACACCUGCGGCGAAGGCGGGUUGCUGGGCUGACACUGACGCUGAGGCGCGAAAGCCAGGGAGCGAACGGG